ACUCAACGUUAAUUCUUUAAAAAGGGUGAGUUUAAGUUGUAAAAGCAUGCUGCAUUUUUAGCAGACCCUUGAUCAGCUUGUUAGCCCUAAACUUGUUUUUAAGGAGUUU
rnacentral:sRNA from 1 species